rnacentral:rRNA from 1 species
UACGUAGGGGGCUAGCGUUGCUCGGAAUUACUGGGCGUAAAGGGCGCGUAGGCGGAUGUUUAAGUCGGGGGUGAAAGCCCGGGGCUCAACCUCGGAAUUGCCUUCGAUACUGGACAUCUUGAGUUCGGGAGAGGUGAGUGGAAUGCCGAGUGUAGAGGUGAAAUUCGUAGAUAUUCGGCGGAACACCAGUGGCGAAGGCGACUCACUGGCCCGAUACUGACGCUGAGGCGCGAAAGCGUGGGGAGCAAACAGG